rnacentral:rRNA from 1 species
AAAGAGCGCAGGGUGGAUGCCUUGGCACUAAGAGCCGAAGAAAGACGUGAUAAGCUGCGAAAAGCUGCGGGGAGGAGCAAAUAUCCAUUGAGCCGCAGAUAUCUGAAUGGGGAAACCCGGCUGGACGAACUCCAGUCAUCCAUACGCCAAUCCAUAACGUAUGGAAGGGAACCCGGUGAACUGAAACAUCUAAGUAGCCGGAGGAAUAGAAAGAAACAAGUUCUUUCAUUAGAAAGAAAAAUCGAUUUCCAAAGUAGCGGCGAGCGAAAUGGAAAGAGGCCAAACCAUGGUGCGUGCACUGUGGGGUUCGGACCGCAUAAUUGAUUCGUUGAUCCUAGCAGAAAGGUUUUGGGAAAGCCUGCCAGAGAGGGUGAAAGCCCCGUAAGCGAAAGGAAAGAUGACAUGGCGGAAUCCAGAGUACAUCGAGACACGAGAAACCUUGAUGGAAUGAGCGGGGACCACCCCGUAAGCCUAAAUACUCCUUAGUGACCGAUAGCGCAUAGUACUGUGAAGGAAAGGUGAAAAGGACCCCGGGAGGGGAGUGAAAGAGAACCUGAAACCCUGUGUUUACAAGCUGUGGAACAUCUUUAAAUGAUGAACCGCGUACUUUUUGUAGAACGGUCCGGCGAGUUACGCGUGCCGGCAAGGUUAAGCACUUAAGGUGUGGAGCCGA